rnacentral:rRNA from 1 species
AUUGAACGCUGGCGGCAGGCCUAACACAUGCAAGUCGAACGAGUGGCGGACGGGUGAGUAAUGUCUGGAAAACUGCCUGAUGAAGGGGGAUAACUACUGGAAACGGUCGCUGAUACCGCAUACCAUCAGAUUUGCCCAGAUGGGAUGAGCUAGUUGGUGGGGUAACGGCUCACCAAGGAGAGGAGCCCUAGCUGGUCUGAGAGUAUGACCCGCCACACGGGAAUUGCGACAUGGUCCAGACUCCUACGGGAUGCAGCAGUGGGGAAUAUUGCACAAUGUGCGCAAGCCUGAUGCAGCCAUGCCGCGUGUAUGAAGAAGGCCUUGGGGUUGUAAAGUACUUUCAGCGGGGAGGCGUUACCCGCAGAAGAAGCACCGGCUAACUCCGUGCCAGCAGCCGCGGUAAUUC